rnacentral:lncRNA from 1 species
ACCUUGUGUGGAAUUAAAGAAUGCAGAGAAUCAGUAUUAACUCUCGGGAUCCUAAACCUAGUGUAAAUGGAGCUCUCUACGAACUCUUCAGGAGUCCCUCAAUUUACCCAUCAAAAUGUUUUACAGAUUGCAUCAUUUGAGAUGAGCAGCCGCUUCAUCUUUGGUAAGAAGAAUACAGUUCCAGGGGGACCACUCCAGGGAUUUAUUCCAUCUGACCAUGACCAGAUCACUGAGAUUGUCGCAGGCACUGAGGACUGACCGGGACGCCCAGAUGUUCUCUGUCAGGCAUGGAAUAUUGAGGCAGCACUUGUUGGUGACUUACAUUAAAGCCCUAGUACAUCUAAGAUUCUCUACAAGGAAAUAUACAUCUGUCAUGUCAAUAAUUCCUGAAUAAAAGUAGCAAAUAAGAAUUUAAGCUGAAAUAAACAUC